rnacentral:rRNA from 1 species
UACGUAGGGUGCGAGCGUUGUCCGGAAUUAUUGGGCGUAAAGGGUCCGUAGGCGGUUUGGAAAGUCAGAUGUGAAAUCCCACAGCUCAACUGUGGAACUGCAUUUGAAACUUCCAGACUAGAGUAUGAGAGGGGUUAAGGGAAUUCCCGGUGUAAGGGUGAAAUCUGCAGAGAUCGGGAGGAACACCAGUCGCGAAGGCGCUUAACUGGCUCAUUACUGACGCUCAGGGACGAAAGCUAGGGGAGCAAACGGG